AUUGAACGCUGGCGGCAGGCCUAACACAUGCAAGUCGGGCGAGUGGCGGACGGGUGAGUAAUGUAUGGGGACUGCCCGAUAGAGGGGGAUCACUACUGGAAACGGUGGCUAAUACCGCAUACUAUCGGAUAACCCAUAUGGGAUUAGCUAGUAGGUGGGGUAAAGGCUCACCUAGGCGACGAUCUCUAGCUGGUCUGAGAGGAUGAUCAGCCAAACUGGGACUGCGACACGGCCCAGAAGCCUACGGAGGCAGCAGUGGGGAAUAUUGCACAAUGGGGGCAAGCCUGAGGCAGCCAUGCGGCGUGUAUGAAGAAGGCCUUAGGGUUGUAAAGUACUUUCAGCGGGGAGGCGUUACCCGCAGAAGAAGCACCGGCUAACUCCGUGCCAGCAGCCGCGGUAAUUC
rnacentral:rRNA from 1 species